GGGGAAGUUUAACUUGCAGUUCGAACGGACCUGUAUUGAAACCACGUGAUUUACAGGUUCGUGGGCGGACGGGUGAGUAACGCGUGGAAAACCUGCCGUAUACUGGGGGAUAACACUUCAGAAAUAGGUCGCUAAUACCGCAUAAGCGCACAGACCCGCAUGGGACAGUGUGAAAAACUUCCGGUGGUAUACGAUGGUUCCGCGUCUGAUUAGCUUCGUUGGCGGGGUAACGGCCCACCAAGGCGACGAUCAGUAGCCGGCCUGAGAGGGUGAACGGCCACAUUGGGACUGAGACACGGCCCAGACUCCUACGGGAGGCAGCAGUGGGGAAUAUUGCACAAUUGGGGAAACCCUGAUGCAGCGACGCCGCGUGAGUGAAGAAGUAUCUCGGUACGUAAAGCUCUAUCAGCAGGGAAGAAAAAAAGUCUUUGGCUUUGGACGGUACCUGACUAAGAAGCCCCGGCUAACUACGUGCCAGCAGCCGCGGUAAUACGUAGGGGGCAAGCGUUAUCCGGAUUUACUGGGUGUAAAGGGAGCGUAGACGGCAGCGCAAGUCUGGAGUGAAAUGCCGGGGCUCAACCCCGGAACUGCUUUGGAAACUGUGCAGCUAGAGUGCGGGAGAGGUAAGCGGAAUUCCUAGUGUAGCGGUGAAAUGCGUAGAUAUUAGGAGGAACACCAGUGGCGAAGGCGGCUUGCUGGACCGUAACUGACGUUGAGGCUCGAAAGCGUGGGGAGCAAACAGGAUUAGAU
rnacentral:rRNA from 1 species